GGGAGCCGGAGGGAAACCGAGUCUUAACCGGGCGUUAAGUUGCAGGGUAUAGACCCGAAACCCGGUGAUCUAGCCAUGGGCAGGUUGAAGGUUGGGUAACACUAACUGGAGGACCGAACCGACUAAUGUUGAAAAAUUAGCGGAUGACCUGUGGCUGGGGGUGAAAGGCCAAUCAAACCGGGAGAUAGCUGGUUCUCCCCGAAAGCUAUUUAGGUAGCGCCUCGUGAAUUCAUCUCCGGGGGUAGAGCACUGUUUCGGCUAGGGGGCCAUCCCGGCUUACCAACCCGAUGCAAACUGCGAAUACCGGAGAAUGUUAUCACGGGAGACACACGGCGGGUGCUAACGUCCGUCGUGAAGAGGGAAACAACCCAGACCGCCAGCUAAGGUCCCAAAGUCAUGGUUAAGUGGGAAACGAUGUGGGAAGGCCCAGACAGCCAGGAUGUUGGCUUAGAAGCAGCCAUCAUUUAAAGAAAGCGUAAUAGCUCACUGGUCGAGUCGGCCUGCGCGGAAGAUGUAACGGGGCUAAACCAU
rnacentral:rRNA from 1 species